UGACCCAAGUGGAGUGGACACCAGAGCUGUGUACUGCCAGAUGGUUGGAGAAGAGUUGUAUUCCAUUGCUAAAACACCUGUGUGUAGUUAUUCAUUUCAAGCUAACAUUUUUCUUUUGUUAGAAUUUCACCAAAUAGCAUGCCUUAUCAGGAAAGCCUGGCAUAUGUGGAG